rnacentral:rRNA from 1 species
UACGUAGGGGGCGAGCGUUGUCCGGAUUUAUUGGGCGUAAAGAGCGUGUAGGCGGCUUGGUAGGUCCGCUGUGAAAACUCGGGGCUCAACCCCGAGAGGUCGGUGGAAACCAUCUGGCUAGAGUCCGGAAGAGGAGAGUGGAAUUCCUGGUGUAGCGGUGAAAUGCGCAGAUAUCAGGAAGAACACCCGUGGCGAAAGCGGCUCUCUGGAACGGUACUGACGCUGAGACGCGAAAGCGUGGGGAGCGAACAGG